CGAUCCGUGGUGAAGAUCGCUGUUACUUCGUCUGUUAAACGGGAGACGCGGGUUCGAUUCCCGCCCGGCGUACCA
rnacentral:tRNA from 1 species